GAUGAACGCUGGCGGCGUGCCUAAUACAUGCAAGUCGAGCGAACGGACGAGAAGCUUGCUUCUCUGAUGUUAGCGGCGGACGGGUGAGUAACACGCGGAUAACCUACCUAUAAGACUGGGAUAACUUCGGGAAACCGGAGCUAAUACCGGAUGAUAUUUUGAACCGCAUGGUUCAAAAGUGAAAGACGGUCUUGCUGUCACUUAUAGAUGGAUCCGCGCUGCAUUAGCUAGUUGGUAAGGUAACGGCUUACCAAGGCAACGAUGCAUAGCCGACCUGAGAGGGUGAUCGGCCACACUGGAACUGAGACACGGUCCAGACUCCUACGGGAGGCAGCAGUAGGGAAUCUUCCGCAAUGGGCGAAAGCCUGACGGAGCAACGCCGCGUGAGUGAUGAAGGUCUUCGGAUCGUAAAACUCUGUUAUUAGGGAAGAACAUAUGUGUAAGUAACUGUGCACAUCUUGACGGUACCUAAUCAGAAAGCCACGGCUAACUACGUGCCAGCAGCCGCGGUAAUACGUAGGUGGCAAGCGUUAUCCGGAAUAUUGGGCGUAAAGCGCGCGUAGCGGUUUUUUAGUCUGAUGUGAAAGCCCACGGCUCAACCGUGGAGGGUCAUUGGAAACUGGAAAACUUGAGUGCAGAAGAGGAAAGUGGAAUUCCAUGUGUAGCGGUGAAAUGCGCAGAGAUAUGGAGGAACACCAGUGGCGAAGGCGACUUUCUGGUCUGUAACUGACGCUGAUGUGCGAAAGCGUGGGGAUCAAACAGGAUUAGAUACCCUGGUAGUCCACGCCGUAAACGAUGAGUGCUAAGUGUUAGGGGGUUUCCGCCCCUUAGUGCUGCAGCUAACGCAUUAAGCACUCCGCCUGGGGAGUACGACCGCAAGGUUGAAACUCAAAGGAAUUGACGGGGACCCGCACAAGCGGUGGAGCAUGUGGUUUAAUUCGAAGCAACGCGAAGAACCUUACCAAAUCUUGACAUCCUUUGACAACUCUAGAGAUAGAGCCUUCCCCUUCGGGGGGGACAAAGUGACAGGUGGUGCAUGGUUGUCGUCAGCUCGUGUCGUGAGAUGUUGGGUUAAGUCCCGCAACGAGCGCAACCCUUAAGCUUAGUUGCCAUCAUUAAGUUGGGCACUCUAAGUUGACUGCCGGUGACAAACCGGAGGAAGGUGGGGAUGACGUCAAAUCAUCAUGCCCCUUAUGAUUUGGGCUACACACGUGCUACAAUGGACAAUACAAAGGGCAGCGAAACCGCGAGGUCAAGCAAAUCCCAUAAAGUUGUUCUCAGUUCGGAUUGUAGUCUGCAACUCGACUACAUGAAGCUGGAAUCGCUAGUAAUCGUAGAUCAGCAUGCUACGGUGAAUACGUUCCCGGGUCU
rnacentral:rRNA from 1 species